GGUGGCGGCGGCCCGGAGGUUUCGGGUCGGUUGUAGGGCGGCCCCGGCCCCGGGUCCCGGCCCCGAACCGAGGAGGCGGUGUGUGGGAGCGGGGGGCCCGGUGCGUAGCGUGGGGCCGGGGGCCGGAGUGUGGGGCGGGGAGAGGGCGGCGGGUUGGAGCCCUGAUCCCGGGGGUUUGGAGCCCUGAGUCCUGGGUGUCGCAUCCCGGUGGGGAUCCCGGGAGGUUGGAGCCCCACUCCUUGGGCCCUGUGUCCCCGUAAAGAUCCCGGGGGUUGGAGCCCUGAUCCCUGGAGCUGUGUCCCCAUAAAGAGCCCGGAGGGCUGGAGCCCAGCUUCCUGGGGGCUGUGUCCCCCAUAACGAUCCUGGAGGGUUGGAGCCCUGAUCCCUGGGGCUCUGUCCCUAUAAGUAUCCCGGGGUUUGGGGCCCUGAUCCUGAGGGCUGUGUCCCCAUAAAGAUCGCAGGGGUUGGAGGCCCCCUCUCUGGGGGUUGUGUCCCCAUAAGAAGCCUGGAGGGUUGGAGCCCUGAUCCCUGGGGCUGUCCCCCCAUAAGGAUCCCAGUGGGUUGGAGCCCCAUUCCUUGGGGGUUACAUUCCCAUAAGGAUCCCGGUGGUUUGGAGCCCUGAUCCCUGGAGCUGCGUCCCCAUAAAGAGCCCGGUGGGAGUAGAGACCCCCUCCAUGGGGGCUGUGUCCCCAUAACUAUCCCAAAGGGUUGGAGCUCCUCUCCUUGGGGUCUGUGUCCCCAUAAGGAUCCCAGUGAACUGGAGUCCUGCUCCUUGGGUGUUACGUUCCCAUAAGGAUCCUAGAGAACUGGAGCCCUGCUCCGUGGGGUUGUGUCCCCAUAAAGAUCCUGGGGGUUGAAGCCCUGCUCCCUGGGGUCUGUGUCCCCGUAAGGAUCCUGGUGAAUUGGAGUCCUGCUCCUUGGGUGUUACAUUCCCAUAAGGAUCCCAGAGGACUGGAGCCCCGGUCCCUGGGAUCGUGUCCCCAAAAGGAUUCCAGUGGGUUGGAGUUCCCCUCCCUGGGGGCUUCAUCCCGGCGUGUUGCAGCCCCACAGCACGGCAGGCACCUCAUAACCCCCUGUGGCCGUCCCACCAUGCCGUCCCGCGGGGCGAGCACGCGGCGGCCGGGCCGUCGGCAGCUGCUGGCUCUGGCGGCGGUGCUGGGCUGGCUGCUGGCGCUGCGCCUGCUGCUGGACCUGCGGGUGCUGGGGCUGCUCUGCGGGGCGCUGGCGGCCGUGGGCGGCUGGCUGGGACCCCGCGCCCUGAGCCGGCCGGGCUGGCGGCUGCGGCUGGAGCGCUUCGUCGGCACCUUGCGGCCCUCGCCGCCCAGCCCGCAAGCGGAGGAGCAGCUGGAGCAGGAGAUCGCCGGCACCAUCCGUAAGGUGGUGCGGGAUUUCGUCUCCUCCUGGUACCGCACCGUCAGCGCUGAGCACGCCUUCGAGGAUGAGGUGGAGAAAGCCAUGGCCGGGCUGGCCGCCGAGCUGAGGCGGCGGAUGGGGCGGGUGGACCGCAAGGCCCUGGCUCGACGCCUUCUUCUCCUCUGCAGCCACCACCUGCAGAGCUACCUGCAGGCCUGCCAGGCCCUACGGGACACCCCGGAGGGCAGCCGGACGCUGUGGCAGGAGUACAGCCGGAUAGUGGGCACGCAUCCAGCCCUCCGCAGCCCGUCGGUGGAGGUGGGCUACGCUCGGGCUGCUGUGGAGGUGCUGCUGCAGGCGUUGGUGCCCCAGCCCCACCUGGAGACGCGGACGGGACGCUUCGUGGUGGUGGAGCUGGUGGCCUGCAACGUGCUGCUGCCCGCUGUCAGGAAGAUGGCCGAUCCCGACUGGAUCAACCUGCUGCUUGUCGCGGCUUUCUCCAAGAAGCCCCGGGAAGAGGAGGUGCCCCCUGCGCCCCCGGUGCCUGACUGCUUGUCCUUUGCCGUGCAGCCUGAUUCUGCUCCUGCAGGGCUGCCCCCUUCCCCGAGGGUCGUGGAGGUGCCCGGGGCUGCUGGUGAGGAGGGAGAGGAUGCAGCAGGCGGGCUGAGCCGCACGGAGGUGUCAUUCCUCCGCCCACAAGCCCUGGGCUCCCUGUUUCCUUGUGAGGGUUUGGAGCUGGAGUCCCCUGUGCCUGAUCCUGGCCAGGACGUGGACCUGCUGGCACCAUCGCCUGCCAAGGAGUGUCUCGAUGACACCCUCCCUGACACCCCUGCUGUGCUCGAGGGACCGGACGCUUCAGAGGAUGGCGUGGGGGACUUGGAGGAAAGCAAUGCCACCUGCACGGAUGCUGGCCUGCUUCCCCCUUCUGCUUUUGUUCUGAGCUCCUGCCCUGACAUCCAAAUCGAUCCAGCAGUGGAGAAGGAGGAGGAGAGCCCACCUGUCCCCAAGAAGUCCUCCUCGCAGAGGCCCUGCAGCUUGGGGAAAGAACUGGGGGCAUCAGAAGUGCCACCACAAAGUCCCCCAGACCCUGGGCAGACUCUUCCCCUGCUCUCAUCCUCCCCGACAGCUCCCAUCAGCACCUUCAGCUUUGAGCCCCUCAACAGCCCCGACGGGCCAGUCGUCAUCCAGAACCUGCGGAUAACUGGGACCAUCACUGCCCGGGAGCACAGCGGGACUGGCUUCCACCCCUACACCCUGUACACGGUCAAGUACGAGACAGCCCUGGAGGGUGACAGCACAGGCAGCCUUCAGCAAAUGGCCUACCACACCGUGAACCGCCGUUACCGGGAGUUCCUCAACCUCCAGACCAGACUGGAAGAGAAACCGGAGCUCCGCAAGUUCCUGAAAAAUAUCAAAGGCCCAAAGAAAUUGUUCCCCGAUCUUCCAUUUGGAAACAUGGACAGCGAUAAAGUGGAAGCCAGAAAAAGUCUGCUAGAAUCUUUCUUGAAGCAACUGUGUGCAGUCCCUGAGAUUGCCAACAGUGAGGAGGUGCAGGAGUUCCUCGCCCUGAACACCGAUGCCAGAAUCGCAUUCGUCAAGAAGCCCUUUGUUGUCUCCAGGAUAGACAAGAUUGUUGUCAAUGCCAUUGUGGAUACCUUGAAGACAGCGUUCCCCAGGUCAGAGCCCCAGAGCCCCACGGAGGAUCUUAGCGAGUCUGAGGUGGAUGGGAAAUCUCAGACAGAUGGGAAGAAGGCUAACAGGUCCCGGCUGAGGUUUUCAUCCAGUAAAAUCACUCCAGUGCUGAGUGUGAGUGAAGCACAUGACAGGAUCGUGUACUCCGUGAGGGAGGGCAGCGCUGGCUCUGGCACCAUAUCGCUGGCUGCUAUGGAGUCCUUCAUCCACAAGCAGGAGAAGCUGCUGGAGACUGUCCCCAGUAAAGCUCCUGAGGGCGAGGGAAGCAGAGAAGCUAACGAACGCCCCACACAGGAGGAUGCAGACAGGCUGGGCCCGUCGGAACAGGGAGUACAUCCAGACACAGACACAGACUCAGAGACGGCUUUGGCUGACCUGGCCCUGGACUUGCUGCGCCUGCUCCUGAUGGAUCACUGGAGCUGGCUCUGCACGGAGGACAUGCAGAAGGUCUUCCACCUGCUCUUUGGGACCCUCAUUCAAAGGUGGCUGGAGGUCCAGGUGGUGAACCUGACCUGCACCCAGCGCUGGGUCCAGUACCUCCAGCUGCUGCAGGAAUCCAUCUGGCCUGGAGGAAUUUUACCAGCCGUGCCUAAACCAGCCAGGACAGAGGAGCAGAAGAAAGCAGCAGCAGAGCUGGCCCUGCAGAGCCUGAUGGGGAUCUUGCCUGAUGUGAUCCAAGAAAUCCUUGGAACCAGUAAAUGUCGCAUGAGCUGGAACCUGGUGCUGGAGUCCCUGCGCCAUCCUGUUAUCAACAGGCUUCCUGGUGAGUGUGAAACCAGAGGAACAGUGUGGGGAUCUCAUGGCCUUUCUCCUGGAAGAAAGUGAAAGACACCCAGAUAAGCAAGGGGCCCUGCUGCUUGGGAAGUUCACCUUGACACCAGUCGUGGAGGAGGAAAGCUGGGAACAAAACAGGGGAAGUGAUGCAGACACCUCGGCUACCCAGCAUCACCACAACUGCAGCAGGAGAUCUUAUCCAGUCCUCGGAGAAGGCUGGUCCUUUUGUAAAGGUCAGAUCAUCCUGAGCUAUCACACAGCAGCUUGGAGCAGAGGAGGAGGUCCUGCCUGGGUCUGAGUUGCUGUUUGGGUGCGUGUACAGCAAGGCUGGCUUUCAAGUCCGUGGUGAUCCGCUCCCAUCCUUCAAAGCUGCAUCGAUGGAGCUGACUUUGGAGAUGCCCCAGUGCGGUCUCAUUAACUUCUGCUGCUCAGGAGAUACCACCAAAACCACAAGUGGGCUGCUCAUCUCAGACACCCAACCUUCACGCUCCUCACAGGGAUCCUGGUGCUUGUACGAGGACCAGGAGAGGGAUUUGCUGCCGGUGAAGGCUGUGGCAGCUCACAGGCUAGAAAAAGGGAGCCAACGCAGUGUGACCGGUGAAGUUUAGCAGGGACCCCACCUCUGUCGUUGAUGCUCUAAAGACAUACCAAGAGGAGCCACACUGAAAUAAGGAAUUGAGAAAUUUCCCACUGUUGGUUUCAUCUUUAGAUCAGAAGUUUGGAGCUCGCCACGGAGGGAAUAUUGCCCAGAGGAAACAUUUCCUUUUUGCCUUUACCCAUAAGGGAGGGUCGGGGAGGGGAUCGGGGGCACCCCACGAGGUGCUGACCUUCCUGAAGCACACUGCCUCCAGAAUCCCAAAUAGCUGUUUUCAUCGGGUUGAAGCAUGCCUGCAAAAUGCUGUCUGGCCAAACUCUGUUCAGCUGGAAAAUCACUGCCUAGCUCUUGCCUCCAGUUAUCUCCAUAGAGCUCGUACAGAGCUGCGUUUAUUCUCUCCCUUUUCCGAUGGCCUCCACUUCUCCAUCUUGAGGCAUUCACAAAUCACGAUUUGCUACUCCAGCAUCAGCUCUGGGCUGCAAGUCAGCAAGGACUCUCUUUUUAAUUCCAUUUUCAUUGCUCCCGUUUCUUUUGCAUUUUGAUUCACCCUUGGGCGUCUUUCAGCUUUUCGCAGAGUCUGAGAACCAGAAAGAUGUUUUUUUCUUUAGCACUUCAGAUGCUGAUAAAAUUAUUCAACCCCAGCACAUGAAAUCAAGGAAGCGUUUGAUGUCUGUAGGCUCCUGGUGAAUUUAUCUGUGCUGCAGCGGGGUUGGAUGUGCAGGGUUGUAGGACAGCAGCACCAUGGUGCUGAUACCCAAGGACCACACAACGUGUGAGCCCCUACCCCUGUCUGGGCAGACGGAGGGACCCCACGGGACCUCCGUGCUCUGGUCCCUGUCUGCCGUGCUAUUUCUGUUCCUCCUGGUGCCCAGGGGGAGCAGGGAUCAGGACAAGCCAUGUCCUUUUCCAGCAUCCCUGGAGGACUUUGCCGAGGGAUGGGGAGGCAUUUCUGUGCUUGGCCAGGCUCAUCUGCAGCUCUCGUCUGACUUUCUCACGGGAAGAGCCGAGCUGGCCCCUCCAAAUAAGCCCAAGCCUCCCAGUUACCCCCUGCCUGCCUCUGUUUGUGCAUUUGCAGUCUCCUGACAUCUCUUCCCCCAUGGCAAAAGCUGGCCCUGGCUGAACCCAACAGCUUUGGGUACCAAGGGUGGGAGAGGGCACUGUGGUGCCCUGCUGGAGACUGGCUGACCCCACAUCACGUCUGCCAGCCUGGGGACAUCUCUACUUCUCCCCUCUCCCCCUUAAAAAACAUUAUCCAUGGAGGAAAUCUGAAGGCAAACCAGACAAGCUGGUGUAUCUAUUCAGUGACAACCGGGGAGGUUCGCUUUCUGCCGAGCACGGUGUGCUUUGACAGGUUUAUUCAGCUCUCACUUGGGUAAAUCCCUGCCAAAAGAGCGGGGUCCAGCUGUGCUGCUGCUGCACGGCCAUAUCAGCACCAAGGGGCAGGGCCCCUCUGCAGGGCUAGCUUCCUUUAUGGGAUUUCUGCUGGGAAAAGCCAACGCUCACACCCACUAAUAGCACAGGGCAUCACCGCCCGUGUGGGCAGCGCGGUACCAGGAAAGGCAACCAGCUCCUCGUGUGCGUCGCGGGCAGCAAGAAAUCAUCCAGCCAAGCUGGAAAGCCCUCAAGUUUGGGGUUUUGCCAUACUCAGGGCAAUUCCCAAUUGGCGUGCCCUGUUCUUUGCAGUCACCCCAGCAAGGAGGCGUAUUUCCCAUCCGAGCUCAGGUACAUCACUUAUAGGAGGUGCUUUACAGACCCAUUUUCUUUAGGGUCAGACCCUCCUGCGUCAGAACCCUCUCUGUGCUUCAAUCUGGGGGACCAGUGAGUGGUUAUUUGGGGAACGAUGGGGGAUCCCUGUUCACACCCUAACCCCAGCCUUAAGCUGGAGCCAGGGAAUUCAGUCACCGGCCCAGUGAGCCCACAGCCCCCAGGCCAGCUGACGGCUCGGCUGGGUGUAGGAACGCUCCCAGCCUCCCAUCCCAUCCCGCCCGCCUGUUGUUGUUGGCAGCGGGCUUGGGAGGCCUCCAGGUUGGACCCGUCAAGAGAACAAGCGAACAAAAAUUGUUCUCAUCUGAGUAAACACAGCCAGCUGCUGCCAGCAGCUCUGGUGCCUCGGCAGAGGAUUUGUGUGGCCAGCCAUCGUCCCAGUCUGCUAACUCGUUUGACUGGUGGGUCAGAAGGACCCGUCCCUUUAGUGCAGGCAUUGUGCAGCUCAUCCUCCUGCUAGGUCCCACCCAGGUGAUGGAGUCGGGACGCUGCAGUCACCCUUCUACUGGUGCCACCAGUCACCUCCAGUGUGACCCAGUAACAUCCAUCCCUGCUCCUGCUGCUCCCAAACGCAGCCCUGGGGCUGCUGCAGAGGAAUUUCUCUGUCCUGAGCUCCUCGGGAUGGGUUUGUCUCCACCAGUGCUCAGCAACACAUGGGUUUGCUGCGUGGUGGCUGAUUUAAUGAGGAACCUUCCCUGGAAACCCCAGCCUGGCUGCGGCUCAACCCAGCCCUUCCAGCCUCCUUCGGCGAGCCUCGUACAGCUUCGCUCCACUCCUAAUUGCCAGAAAUGAAGCAAGCCAAACCCCACCUGCUCCCUACCACCCACAGGCAGUCCAGCAGGCCCACUUCUCGUGGCGAACGGGGCAGGGUUAACCUCCCCUCUUAGCACCACCAUCCCCUGUAAGACAUUUCCAGUGUCUGACACAAACUGUGCAAAAACCUCCCCAAAGCAGGAGCGUGAAGGACAUCCAUCCUUCCCCACAACGUCUCCUCCACCCUUCUGGUGCCCCUAGCCCCGAGAGAUGGAGUGGCCAUGAGAGGCCACAAACUGCCCCAUUUGUGAAAUGUUUUUUCCUCUUUUGCCUUAACUGCAGUGCCCCGCGCAGCACGCAUGCCCUGCUCCUGCAAGGAAACGGCACCCGCCUCCCUCUUUUACUGCUCACCAACUAUUUGGCCAUUAAGAAAACGGGGGAGCUGGGGCACUCAGUCUUGACCUUGGGGAAAGCAGGAGGCUUAUAAAAGCUCUAAGUGCUGCAGGAAUUACGAGGCAAUUAAAAAUCAGGCCAGAGCUGGGACCAGGGCAAUAAAAGCCAGAGGAACUGAUGUCAGCCCCGCGCGGGACACAGGGACCCGCAGCGCUGGGACGGCGAACCCAUGUCCAUGCUAGCUUUCCACCAUGUGCAUGACCCCAAAUGGAAGCACAGGAGCAUUUCUGUAAGUUCACCACGGCUCAGCUUGGGUUUUCCAAGCUGCUAAGAACAAGGAGAGAAAAAUCAGCUGGGUUUCAGUGGGAUUUGCUAGGGUGCGUUUUCCAUUUCGAGUUGCAGUGCUAAUUUCCUUUGGAGCUGGGUCUUUCCAAGAGCUCAAGCGAGGUUGUGGCUCAGGACCCUUGGGCCAGAGGUUUAAUAUUUCUUCUAGGUGUAAAUGGUUUCAUGUGCAAACCUGUUGAGUUAAGGAGCGCGGUGAUGGGGAGUGAAGGCUGCUCUCUGCGUCCUCUUAGGAAAGUCCCAGAAAAUGUCAUCUGGCUCUUAGGCCAUGCUGAGAACAUUUGCCAACGUCCUCUGACCAUCUUUAAAGCAGGAAGAGGCAAAAAAAAAAAAAAAGGAGUCUUUUUCAGUCUGCCUUUGCUAAAGUCCUGUCCAGCAGGUUUACCUAGGUUUGGUCAUUUAUUUACCUGUCUGCACUGGAGUGCUGGCUGGACUGGAGUGAUGCAGGCGUAUUUCCUAAGGGUAGACAAGGGCUCAGAACAAAACCCAGCUCUGGUCCAGAUGUCCAGAGAGGGUCCUGGUCAUUCUGAGCAGCUCUGACUCAAAACAACAUCUCAAAAGGGAGUUUUAGCUGCCGAAGGUGGUGCUCAGAGCAUUGACCCACAGCCCUGCCCGCCCCACGGCGCUGGACAUGGAAACAGGAGACCAGGCUUGUGCUGAGAACAGGCACAGCUCAUUGCACCCACGGUGUUAGAGAUCUAGGUUGUUACAUCCAAGCCAUCCACUGGGCCAAAAAUUCUGCAUAUUGCUGCAAAGGUCCCCAGCGUUUCCCCAGGGGAAUGCCCAUUUCCCCUGUCCGCCCACCGCAGAGCAGAAACCCCAUUUCUCCACGCAGGAGCUCAGCAGGGGUAAAACGCCAACCACGGAGACGUUUUGCAACAGCUUGUUGCAGGGUUUCAAAACUCGCUCGCUGUUUCACUCUGGGGUGGAAACAAAAGCCCUGGAAAUGUUUCUGUGGCAGAAUUGCAUCGCGCCAUCUGCGUUCAAGGGGAGAGGGCUUGGGGUGCGCGGGUGACACGGUGUGUGUCACAGCUGGCUGGAAAUUUGGCGGAGCAGCCCAUUUUGUGAGGUUUUGGCACUUAGCUGAAAACACGUGGCUGGCUCAGGGGAUUGGCUUUUGAGGCUGGAGGGGGGAAUUUAGGGUUUUUAUGCUGGGGAAACGCGGGGGGAAUGUAACGACCUCCCAGCUCAGUCCUUGCUGCUUUUGGUGAGCCACAGAGCAGCUCCUGGCAGACACCAGCCUGAAACUCAGGGCUCCAGCUGCUGAGCACGCAACCCCCAGCCAGCGUUACGCAAAGCAGGAGUCACUCCAUCGAAAGAACUGGAGUUGCCCCAGCAGAAGGAGCACAAGCAGGACGCUUCGACCCUGCCAUGCUCCGCCAGCCUGGCUGCGACUUCAAGGGAGCCAAAAUCCGGCAGCGCUCGGACAUUCACGGUGCCCCGUGAUCGCUGACCACAUCCACUGCUGAUCACCAAUUCCUGGCUGCAGAUACAAAAACCCAGGGGAGCAUCCUGCAUGCGCUGCUUGUGGGGACAGGCACUGCAGGCUCGCUGUCCGGCUCUUCCCUUCCCAGCUGCUGCAGGGAGAGACCCUGCAAAGCCCAAACUUGCCAGGGAUUUUGCACACAUGGGAUUUUGCGCACACGUGUGCAAGGACAGGCUGUCCUCCAGCAGAAGCUCUGCUGCCCAAUGACAAAUCGGCCGCAGGGUGGGCACGGCUCCAGGCAGGCAGCUGUGCCCCGUUUCCUGACCUGCCUGUUCCUCUGUCCCCACGAUCGUGUUCUGGGGCUGUCAGUGGUGAUUUUUUUUUUUCAUAACAGGGACUCUGUUGGGAUGCUUGAGCUGACAGCCUUGACUGCAGCCUGGGAACGUGGUGGUGCUUGUGCCCAGAGAGCCCGAACCUAGGCAAACGUGUGAGCAGGGGCUGCGGGGUUUGGUCUUAACAGAGGAAGAGAAGCACGAGCAGCCAGAAAAAAACAGUGCAGUGCAGCCCUGGGCUGUAAAGCCCCCACCCAGCCCCAAAGGGGACUGAUGAGGCUCUUUUUUUUUGGUGUGGAAGCUCUGUGUGUGCAGGCAUCUGGCAGCCUCCAGCAUGGGAGCACACGGCACAGUAGCCCCGGUGCACGGCCCCUCCUCUGCCAGCCCCUCGCCCCGGGGCUGGGGGCCUUUUGCAGCUCCCUUUUUAUGGGCAGUGAGGCCCGAGAGCAGCUCAUUAGCUUCCCUGCUCGCUGGGUUUA